UGCACCUGAUGGCGAGUGGCGAACGGGUGAGUAAUGCAUCGGAACGUGCCCAAUCGUGGGGGAUAACGCAGCGAAAGCUGUGCUAAUACCGCAUACGAUCUAUGGAUGAAAGCGGGGGACCUUCGGGCCUCGCGCGAUUGGAGCGGCCGAUGUUAGAUUAGGUAGUUGGUGGGGUAAAGGCUCACCAAGCCGACGAUCUAUAGCUGGUCUGAGAGGACGACCAGCCACACUGGAACUGAGACACGGUCCAGACUCCUACGGGAGGCAGCAGUGGGGAAUUUUGGACAAUGGGCGCAAGCCUGAUCCAGCAAUACCGCGUGCAGGAAGAAGGCCUUCGGGUUGUAAACUGCUUUUGUACGGAACGAAAAGGCUCUUUCUAAUAAAGAGGGCUCAUGACGGUACCGUAAGAAUAAGCACCGGCUAACUACGUGCCAGCAGCCGCGGUAAUACGUAGGGUGCGAGCGUUAAUCGGAAUUACUGGGCGUAAAGCGUGCGCAGGCGGUUUUGUAAGACAGACGUGAAAUCCCCGGGCUCAACCUGGGAAUUGCGUUUGUGACUGCAAGGCUAGAGUACGGUAGAGGGGGGUAGAAUUCCGCGUGUAGCAGUGAAAUGCGUANAUAUGCGGAGGAACACCGAUGGCGAAGGCAGCCCCCUGGACCUGUACUGACGCUCAUGCACGAAAGCGUGGGGAGCAAACAGGAUUAGAUACCCUGGUAG
rnacentral:rRNA from 1 species